GCCAAUGCGGUGUAGUGGUUUGGUUGUUGGACUAUGACACUUGAGACCAGGGUUCGAAUCCCUGCUUGGCCA